GAUGAACGCUGGCGGCGUGCCUAAUACAUGCAAGUCGAACGCUGGAAAUCUAGCUUGCUAGAUUGAAGGAGUGGCGAACGGGUGAGUAAUACAUAAGCAACCUACCCACGAAGACUGGGAUAAUCUCUGGAAACGGGGACUAAUACCGGAUAGGUAAUCGGAAGGCAUCUUCUGAUUAUUAAAGGUUAAAAACACUGGUGGAUGGGCUUAUGGCGCAUUAGUUAGUUGGUGAGGUAACGGCCCACCAAGACGAUGAUGCGUAGCCGGCCUGAGAGGGUGAACGGCAACAUUGGGACUGAGACACGGCCCAGACUCCUACGGGAGGCAGCAGUAGGGAAUUUUCGGCAAUGGGGGAAACCCUGACCGAGCAACGCCGCGUGAGUGAUGACGGCCUUCGGGUUGUAAAGCUCUGUUGUAAGGGAAGAACGGUAGAUAGAGAAUAUCUAAAUGACGGUACCUUACCAGAAAGCCACGGCUAACUACGUG
rnacentral:rRNA from 1 species